ensembl:ncRNA lncRNA:CR43949 long non-coding RNA:CR43949
ACUGAAAAACUAGAUAGUUAGUAUUUGUUGAUUUGAUAAAGCAUACUCAAAUGGUUUUUAUUGAUCCCAAAAAGCAUACAUUUUCUUGCGGUGUGGGGCCAGGAAAAACAGAUCACGGGCGGACGGACAUGGACAUUCAUUUCGCUUAAGCGCACUAACCGGGUAAACUGGUCGGUGUCUUUGAUCCUGGCAUUCUAUUGUUCCGUUUCAAAGGCCACUAUUAUGUAAACAAUCGGCGGCUUUGAUCUUGGCCGCAUCAAAGUUGUGCCGCCGCGUUUCAUCUUCUGCCGCAUGCAGCAAAUAGCAAGCAGCAAGCAACAAGCAGCAGCGCCAGCUGAUGCGAUGCCCCAGCGGAAGAUGAUGACGGUGAUGAUGAUGAUGAUGAUGAUGAUGAUGAUGAGGAUGAUGACGAUGACGAUGACGAGAAAGAGGACGGCGAGGAAGCGACAGGCACUGCGUAGUUAAAGCUGCUACAUCGCUACCAACGCUGCUGAGCUAUAUAAUUUCGCAUAGGCCGAUCCGAUCACCUGGAGAACGGAGCACCUGGAAUACAGAGCCUCUACCGCAACCUCAUAACUUUGGGCAUAAUCUUCAAAGCGCCGACCGACCGAUCGCUUGACAUCAAUCGAGUCGGCCAUUCGGCCGCUCUAAUCCCAACAGAUGGGCUCCCGGAUCGCCGGUCGCCGAUAAGCAAUUAAAAUUUCAUUUAAUGCACAACUUUAUUAUCGGUUCGGCCCAGUCACGGUCACGUCCUUUGAUCCUUUUGCCCGAUUUCAGGAUCCGCUGCACAACUGUUCUCCGGUGUUUUUUCAUCUUUAUUUUGCGAAAAACCAAAGCGUCCGCUCGCUGUGGGAAACGCAACAGGUGCGCCGAGGCUCCAGCAUCCAGAAUCCAGCAUCCAAUCUCCAGUCGGCAGCAGCAUUUCUCAUCCAUCAGCCGGCGGAGCGAGCAUCUUUAAUUUCUUCCAGCCGGGGUUCAUAAUUGCAUUGCUCUCGAUUGACGGAGGUCAGUGAUGUUGCAUGGUCACCAGGUGCUUUAUGGAAAUUUUAAAGGAUUUUACUGAAAAUUUAUUUAAAUAAAGAAAAACCACUAAAACAU